AAAACCGAACAUGUUUUGAGUUCUUCGCCGGAAUCCCGUUGAGUGAGAGGCCAGGUGUAGCUUGAGUGUAACCACUCAAGUUGUUGUCACGUAAUGUGCACUGCCUUGGUCAUUUUACUUGACGCAGCCAGACGGCUGCCCAACAGCCCAGGUCAUAGUUAUUCGAGGUAAUUUGAGUCAACUCUGGAGGAAUGGUCGCCCCCCCCUGGUCUAGUCCUCCCCCCGGCUUCCUGCUUCUGCCUUAAUGGCUUGUAUAUUCUGGAGAACAGCAUUCGUAGAGACCGGCUGGCAGAGAUUCUGGAACGACGGGGAAAGGAAUACAAGAAACACCAUGCCAGGAACGCAUCGCCACUAGUACCAGGGGCAUUGGAUUCAGAUGAGAAAGGGGAUAAGCUCGAGUUUGAAUACACUCCUCUUAGCUCCAUCCAACUCUCCACUGCAGUAUCCCAUUCAGGGUUUCACAGUUCGCCCCAUGGUCCCCACUCUCAUUCCAGGUAUCACUAAAUGGUGCCAAAGGUGUGCUCCGUCUAGGGACCCCAAGUGAAGCAGAGUGUCGAAGUUGCCUUAUUAGGUCCUCCACAGUCGCCCCAUCAGUCCCUGGCAGUCUGGUCCCUGGAGCAGCUGGCCCUGGCAAAAGUUAUUCCUUCACUGUUGACCCCUGACUGACUGGCCCUCGGCACACAAAUCCCUGGAUCACCCGCCACUGGAUCACCUGCCCCUGAAUCACCUGCCCCUGGCAAUGUGGCCUCUUGAUUGCUCUCUCUGUCUCCUGUGAUGUCCUUUUCAACGCUCUUGAAAUCCACCUAAAUUUCUCCCUCAAUCUCUGUAACAAUUACAAGGUAAUGUUGCUGUUAUAUGUAUUUUGCCUUUGCAUUUGCAACUACUGUCAUCUCCAAUGUAAGAAAAUGAAUUAAAGCAAAACAUUUCUGUAAUGUGAAUUAAAUCAUCUGCCACAAUCAGAAACCAAUACAAUUUAUAAAAUGGAUCUACCGGCAAUUGUUAAUUGGGUAGAAAUGUGUCGAUUAUCUACAUUGUGUGCAAAUCCUCAGAGAAUCCCUGCCUUCUGGUUGUUUUUUAAACUGAAUGUACAAAUAUGAAUUAUGUAAUCUCAUUAGGAGUGUAGUCUAUCCUUGAAUUACAUGAAAUGGGGAAUAUUGUUAGCUGCAUGGAUCAUACCGAAGUUUAAUUUGGCGCAAUAUGUGUGGUCCGUUGCACUUGGUUCCGGAGGCACCCUCACAGAAGGGGGUUUCCUCCUCUUCGGUUUAGGUCGAUGGAUGAAAACUGUUGGGCCUGCAUCGGGCCUCAACUUCAACAUCCUAUCUACUUUUGAGGCUUUGAAUUGGUCAUUUUCAAAGUCCUGGUAGGCUUGUAAGAUCAGUUUCCAUUGCACUUCAAAUAUCAUUGGAAAGUCAUAAUUCUCUACACUUAGAAUUAUUAUGCCCUUUGAAAUGCUAACAAGUGAUCUGAACAUUACGUUACAUCGUUUUUGACUGUUGCUGACUGUCAAUAAGUUUUGACGGCUGACCAUUGCCAUCCAUUUCUCCCUGCGCUCUUGGUCCUUGGGGAAGCCGUGAUAACCCUUCUCGGACCGAUUGGAGCAUCCAAAUGCUGCACAGCCAACCAUGGUAUGACCAUUGAUCUAUAAAAUGUUAGUUGUAACCAAUGAACCAUGACACCAUUGAAGAUCACAGAGCGGGUAACAACUGUUCCUCAACCACUCAUGCCCCGACUUUUGAGAAUAGAUUAGAGGUCAGAGUUCAUGACCAAACGAAGAUCCUCCCUCCUAAACCCAUUUUGACUUUGCUCAGGGCUAUUCUAAGUAUUGUAAUGGCAUAAAGUAUAGUAUAUUUGCAACGUUAUAUGUUAAUGGUUUGCCCUAUAGUGUUCCCUGCUGUGUCCAUUGUUGAAUCUGUUCACACAAUCGCAAUCACUUGUUCUUGUCACACUAAUUGUUUAAUAAAAAAAAA
ensembl:lncRNA